GUGUCAGCCGCCGCGGUAAUACAGGGGGUGCAAACGUUGCUCGGAAUUAUUGGGCGUAAAGCGCGCGUAGGCGGUUGCUUAAGUCGGAUGUGAAAGCCCUUGGCUUAACUGAGGAAGUGCAUCCGAAACUGAGCAGCUAGAGUACGAAAGAGGGUCGCGGAAUUCCCGGUGUAGAGGUGAAAUUCGUAGAUAUCGGGAGGAACACCAGUGGCGAAGGCGGCGACCUGGGUCGAGACUGACGCUGAGGCGCGAAAGCGUGGGGAGCAAACAGGAUUAGAAACCCCAGUAGUCC
rnacentral:rRNA from 1 species